UACGGAGGGGGCUAGCGUUGUUCGGAAUUACUGGGCGUAAAGCGCACGUAGGCGGCUUUGUAAGUUAGAGGUGAAAGCCCAGGGCUUAACCCUGGAAUUGCCUUUAAGACUGCAUCGCUAGAAUCGUGGAGAGGUGAGUGGAAUUCCGAGUGUAGAGGUGAAAUUCGUAGAUAUUAGGAAGAACACCAGUGGCGAAGGCGGCUCACUGGUCCGGUACUGACGCUGAGGUGCGAAAGCGUGGGGAGCAAACGGG
rnacentral:rRNA from 1 species